ACACUUUAAAAGGGUACUUUUAGAAACUAAAAACCACGCUCAUUAAGUACUUUUACCUAUUUUGAUUUUCCAUUACCCAUUCCUCCUGCCCCCCAAUUCAUUUAUAUUCUUUCCCCAAAUUCAUUCUCUUCCUAAUUACAGAGGCAUCUCAGUCUCAGAGACAGAAACGUUCAACUUCACUUGCUGCUUCUAAUCCUCGAAAACCCUAGCCAAAUUUUAGGGCUACGGUAGUUUAAUCUCUGUGAGUACUUUCUUCUCUUCACUCUUCGGUUUUCUACUUCUCUCUCUAGUAAUCUAUGUUCUCUGUAUUGUACCUUUAGUUAUUGCAUUGUAUGCUUCUCAUUUUGCUCUAUUGUGUGGAAUUUAUGUUGUCGCCUCGCUCAUUCUAGCAUUCUCUUUCUGAUUUCGCUCUAUUCUAUCAUAUUCUUGUUGUCAAUUCGCUAUUUCCAAUUAGCCUAGUAGAAUUGGUAAACCUAGUCUUUGGUGAACUCAAUUUGGACCAGAAACUAUAACCGACUCAACAACUCUAUAUAAAGGAGCUAAUUAAGAUCUAUUGAUAGUCCGAAAAAAUCUCAACUACACUAUCCAUCUUUCAGCUUGUUCAUUUUUACAAGUAAUUCUCAUUCCAUUUGAAGGCUAUCGAGCUCUGGCUUCUUCAAAACCUUCACUGACUAUUCAGGUUGGAACAUUUUAAGCCAUUGUAGCUGCAGAGCUGGCUUUGGUAUUGACAGUAGUGAAUAAUGAAGAAGACUUCAUGUGGGCGUUGAUUCAACUGGUCAUCUCUACAUUCUUUACUUCCUUGUUUUCCUUGUAAGUGGGAAUAAAGAAUAGCACAAUACUUCCUAUUAAUAUGCUAGUUGUUUAUAGUAGCUCUUGUUAUUUAUUUUGUUUCUUUAGCAAUCCUUAAGAUGUCAGAUUGUAGCUUAUCAUAAUGACGUGUGUAUGACUUGUACAAUACCUAUGAUACACACACUGGUUUUGGGUUUAAAUUUUCAGUCAUUCUGUACUAUUUGACACUAUCACUUCUUAGCAUUUGGUUGUUUGGACCUAGUUUCUUCUAGAAAAGUUGCCAUCCUAUACAAGCCAUCUAGUUAAGAAUGAAAAAAAAAUCAAGUAUAAGAUGUAAAAUAACUUGUUAAUAUGCAGUGUCCAGCUAGUGGAGUUGUGCAACGAGCUAAUACUCUUCUAUGAAAGCAAUGGAUAAAAAUGUACCGCUUAAUUGAAACAAUAAAAGGAGCAAAAUUUAACAUCAAAUGCAUUACUGCUCCUUAGUUUUAGAUUAGCUUUUGUCCAUGAGCAAACAUAUUCUAUUCUCAAUUGUAAUUUUGUUUGCAUCCGCUUGACUUCUUUUAAUGAACUCCUUUUACUUCAUGAAAAAAAAAAUGAUGCUCAACUUAACUAGUGCUUGAUAUUUUGCUUGUCAUAUAUAUUCUAUUUGUGAAUGCUUCACCGGUGAUUGAUAGGUUGCUUUACUUAUACAACUUGCAUCUUCUCCGAGUUUUCUCUCUCAUUUUCUCUAUAUUAAUCAGUUUUUUAUUGUAUUGGUUGUUGGGCAAAAAUGAUCCGUUCUUCGAAGUCCUACCUUCUCUAUUUCUUAGUUCUCUUAGUUUAUGAUAGUUGGUCUUUAUUAUGGUAAGAAGUUAUGCUUAUCAUAACGUAUUUCAUGUGUUUUUAAGAGAAUCAGUUGACUCAUAUUAUAGUCUAUUAACAGAAUCUAGAAGCAGAAAGAUCCAUUGAUGGUAGAUUGUAGUUUUGUAAGAUUUAUUCCAAGAUAUCGAUGAUCUUACCACACUCAAGGAUGCUUCAGUUGCUGAGUGUAGAGAAAGCAAUAAUAAGCAUUUGACCUUCAGCAUGAAUGUGCAGGAUCAAGAGGUUGCUGCUGGUUAGUUUUCUAUAUGAGCAUGAUGAGUAAAGUAAACAGUAGCGAUGAGUGAAGGUGGAAAAAAAAACUGGUAGUUAAACUAGUUAGUAUGAUCUAAAAUCUACCGGAGCACCUGAAUAUUUUCAUCUGGAUCUGCACCUUAUCUCAUAUACGGCAACAGUAGUAUGGAAAGGCAAAACCACUGAAAAGAAUAAUGAGAUUACAAUUAGGGAACUUAAGACUCAAAAACCUUCAGAAGUUUUUGAUGAUCUGAACAAGGAAAUCUCACAUGUUGCUUAGAUUAAUAGGGUGGUCAAGCUACCGAAAACGGAUCAGUUGCAAAAUUAGGAGAUUGAUGUGAAAGGUGCUAAGGACCAAGGGGAUAACAAAUUGGGUUUCUAACGUAUACUACCUUUAGCACUAUAAUAUGUUUUAAAGUGUUAUUCAUGAUAGAGUACAUCAGAUAUUGUAUAAUUCAUUUCCAGUAGUCGACCUAUAAGAGAUUGCUUUAUUAGUUAAUGUAGUACUUGAUACAUAUUUCUUUUUCAAAGUUCAUUGUAAGUGUAUGCGCUUGAA